AUUAUUGGACAAUGUGUGCAACGCUGAUGCAGCCAUGCCUCGUGUUUUAUGAAGGACUUCGGUUUGUAUAGCACUUUAAGUUGGGAGGAAGGGCUGUAGGAUAUUACCCUUAAGUUUUGACGUUACCAAUAGUUUAAGCACCGGCCAAUUCUGUUCUAGCAGCCGCGGUAAUACGUAGGGUUCAAGUGUUAAUCGGAAUUACUGGCCGUAAAGCGCUCGUAGGUGGUUUGUAAAGUUGAAAGUAAACUCCCCCGGCACAACCUUGAAAUUGCUUUCAAAACUGGCAAGCCAGAGUAUGGCAGAGCGUAGUGGAAUUUCCUGUGUGGCGGUGAAAUGCGUAGAUAUAGGAAGGAACACCAGUGGCGAAGGCUACCUCCUGGGCUAAUACUGCCACUGAGGUGCGAAAGCGUGGGGACCAAAC
rnacentral:rRNA from 1 species